UGACAGACCACCAAAACGCAGGGAGGGUGGAGGGUGUGGAUGUGGGAUAUCAGAGUUUCAGACAUCAGAUUGGUUCUUUCUUCUUCGCAGUUGGACCACAACAAAAGGAAAAGGUCAUGUUGAAACGGUCGCCUGGCAACGGCGCGCGUUGUUGUGACAGGCUCAAGUCUUAUGAGUUGUGACAUGUUGGCUGGACAGCGGGAGUCGACUUCGCCAAAUUCCAGCGAUUAGAUGAGGUAGAUGAGACUUUGAGCUUCAUAAGUUAUCUUAUGGAAACUUGACGAAGGGUUAGGAAGGAGAGGAAAGACCACCCAGCCCUCUGCUCUUCAGUAGCAGCUGUGUAACUUUUCACAGGGAUGUUCACAGGAUUUGCAAUUUGCAAUUUUUUUUUUCUUCAACUAGCAGCUGCUGAAGUCUGUGAUAUUUUCCUGAGAACACUAUAUUCAAAUAUAUGUUUGACUCCUACUGCUUUCAACUUGCUGAGAAGUUCAUCAAAGAUACUGAAAUUCAAUGGAAGGAAACUUUUCCAGGAUUUUGUCAGUCAAGCUACAAUGUAGGAUCUAGGGUGUGCUGUCCAGCAAUACCUUUCACCAAUCCUUUUCUACACUCUGCCACAGACCAGGUCCUAGAUAUAGAGACUAAGCUGUAAUGUUCAUUAAACCCAGCAACAAAACAGUCAGCCAGAUAGAGUACUACAUACUUUACGUUUAGGUAUAGAAAUGGGCUUUUAAGAUAUGUGCAUAGUAAGUAAAAUACAGACUUAUAACUUAAGACGUCCCUUUGUAGCUCAUCACUUCACUUCUGUUCCUUUACCUCUCAAUCUCAUCUUUACCAGGUGGACAUGAAAGGUGUGGGGGCAUCUUCUUUGUCUCUUCCCUCAACAGAAAUUAUUUUACCAAAUUUUUUCUCUUGUGAAAGAUACUUCGACAAGCAUAGCGCAGUGUGAAAUAUAUAAGACGAAUGAUUUCACACCUGAAAGAAAACGUUCUGGACUUCAUUGAAAAUUCAAAUCUCAAAAUUCAGGCUGUCAAUAACCUCUGUACAAAAACAUAUCAAACUGACCCUUAAAAUAUGUUUAGUACUACAAAAUUGAAGACUUUUUAUAACUUCCUGCUGUUGAGGGAACCUGGUUGUCUGUCUAUCCCCUCUGUUGGACGGUGACUGGUCUCGCCUCCUCGCAAAUGGUGCCGUCUGGGCAACAAGAGCUCUGAGAGUGCACGUUCAGGGCUCUUGGCUAAACGAGACCUAUAUCUAAUGUCUUAUAGUUGAAUAAGAAAUGGAGAUACAAUAUAAGCAAUUUCAGAGCAUCCAUAGCAAUUUAAGUCCUUUACUAUCAUGUAGUUUUUGAACAUCUGUAUUCCUUUUGACUGUCUCUACCUCAUUAUACUUUGUCACAAUGUGUCGACAGACUUAUGACAGAACUGACUUUGUAGAAUGAUACUUUAGAAUGUCUAAAACUUGGUUCAGGGUUGGACAA